AUCCAGCUGACGAGUCCCAAAAAAUAGGACUUAACGCGUGUCCUGGAU
rnacentral:hammerhead_ribozyme from 1 species